UACAGAGGGUGCAAGCGUUAAUCGGAAUUACUGGGCGUAAAGCGUGCGUAGACGGUUACAUAAGUCGGGUGUGAAAGCCCCGGGCUCAACCUGGGAAUUGCAUUCGAGACUGCGUAGCUAGGGUGCGGAAGAGGGAAGCGGAAUUUCCGGUGUAGCGGUGAAAUGCGAAGAUAUCGGAAGGAACGCCGGUGGCGAAAGCGGCGUGCUGGAUCUCUUCUGACGCUGAGGCGCGAAAGCCAGGGGAGCAAACGGG
rnacentral:rRNA from 1 species